CCUACGGGUGGCAGCAGUGAGGAAUAUUGGUCAAUGGGCGAGAGCCUGAACCAGCAACGCCGCGUGGAGGAUGAAGGUUUUAGGAUUGUAAACUCCUUUUGUUAGAGAAGAUUAUGACGGUAUCUAACGAAUAAGCACCGGCUAACUCCGUGCCAGCAGCCGCGGUAAUACGGAGGGUGCAAGCGUUACACGGAAUCACUGGGCGUAAAGAGUGCGUAGGCGGGGUAAUAAGUCAGAUGUGAAAUCCUGUAGCUUAACUACAGAACUGCAUUUGAAACUGUUACUCUGGAGUGUUGGAGAGGUAGGUGGAAUUCUUGGUGUAGGGGUAAAAUCCGUAGAGAUCGAGAGGAAUACUCAUUGCGAAGGCGACCUGCUGGAACAUUACUGACGCUGAUGCACGAAGGCGUGGGGAGCGAACAGGAUUAGAUACCCGUGUAGUC
rnacentral:rRNA from 1 species